UUGGGGGGUUGGGGAUUUAGCUCAGUGGUAGAGCGCUUGCCUAGGAAGCAAGCGCAAGGCCCUGGGUUCGAUCCCCAGCUCCGAAA